rnacentral:rRNA from 1 species
UGGGGAAUAUUGCACAAUGGGCGGAAGCCUGAUGCAGCGACGCCGCGUGGGGGAUGAAGGCCUUCGGGUUGUAAACUCCUUUCGACAGGGACGAAGCUUUUGUGACGGUACCUGUAUAAGAAGCACCGGCUAACUACGUGCCAGCAGCCGCGGUAAUACGUAGGGUGCGAGCGUUGUCCGGAAUUACUGGGCGUAAAGAGCUCGUAGGUGGUUUGUCGCGUCGUCUGUGAAAUUCCGGGGCUUAACUCCGGGCGUGCAGGCGAUACGGGCUGACUUGAGUGCUGUAGGGGAGACUGGAAUUCCUGGUGUAGCGGUGAAAUGCGCAGAUAUCAGGAGGAACACCGAUGGCGAAGGCAGGUCUCUGGGCAGUAACUGACGCUGAGGAGCGAAAGCAUGGGUAGCGAACAGGAUUAGAUACCCUGGUAGUCCAUGCCGUAAACGGUGGGCGCUAGGUGUAGGGGGCUUCCACGUCUUCUGUGCCGUAGCUAACGCAUUAAGCGCCCCGCCUGGGGAGUACGGCCACAAGGCUA